AUGCAUCUACUGAUAGACCUGAAAGAAAAACAAUUGACUUUCUGGUUUGCACUUAGAUGCAAGAUAAUUUCUCCUGUUUAUGCUGUCUUGCUUUGCUGUGGCAAUUCAGAUUGAAUAAGGGUGAACAUUU